UACGGGGGGGGGCAAGCGUUGUUCGGAAUUACUGGGCGUAAAGGGCUCGUAGGCGGCCAACUAAGUCAGACGUGAAAUCCCUCGGCUUAACCGGGGAACUGCGUCUGAUACUGGAUGGCUUGAAGUUCGGGAGAGGGAUGCGGAAUUCCAGGUGUAGCGGUGAAAUGCGUAGAUAUCUGGAGGAACACCGGUGGCGGAAGGCGGCGAU
rnacentral:rRNA from 1 species